rnacentral:tRNA from 1 species
GUGGCUGUAGCUCAGCUGGUAGAGCAUCAGAUUGUGGCUCUGAGGGUCGGGGGUUCGAGCCCCCUCAGCCACCCCU